rnacentral:rRNA from 1 species
AAACUGCGAAUGGCUCAUUAAAUCAGUUAUCGUUUAUUUGAUAGUACCUUACUACUUGGAUAACCGGGGUAAUUCUAGAGCUAAUACAUGCUAAAAACCCCGACUUCGGGAGGGGGGGAUUUAUUAAAUAAAAAACCAAUGCCCUUCGGGGCUCCUUGGUGAAUCAUAAUAACUUAACGGAUCGCAUGGCCUUGCGCCGGCGACGGUUCAUUCAAAUUUCUGCCCUAUCAACUUUCGAUUGUAGGGUAUUGGCCUACAAUGGUAUCAACGGGUAACGGGGAAUUAGGGUUCGAUUCCGGAAAGGGAGCCUGAAAAACGGCUACCACAUCCAAGGAAGGCAGCAGGCGCGCAAAUUACCCAAUCCCGACACGGGGAGGUAGUGACAAUAAAUACUGAUACAGGGCUCUUUUGGGUCUUGUAAUUGGAAUGAGUACAAUUUAAAUCCCUUAACGAGGAACAAUUGGAGGGCAAGUCUGGUGCCAGCAGCCGCGGUAAUUCCAGCUCCAAUAGCGUAUAUUAAAGUUGUUGCAGUUAAAAAGCUCGUAGUUGAACCUUGGGCCUGGCUGGCCGGUCCGCCUCACCGCGUGCACUGGUCCGGCCGGGCCUUUCCUUCUGGAGAACCGCAUGCCCUUCACUGGGUGUGUCGGGGAACCAGGACUUUUACUGUGAAAAAAUUAGAGUGUUCAAAGCAGGCCUUUGCUCGAAUACAUUAGCAUGGAAUAAUAGAAUAGGACGUGCGGUCCUAUUUUGUUGGUUUCUAGGACCGCCGUAAUGAUUAAUAGGGAUAGUCGGGGGCAUCAGUAUUCAAUUGUCAGAGGUGAAAUUCUUGGAUUUAUUGAAGACUAACUACUGCGAAAGCAUUUGCCAAGGAUGUUUUCAUUAAUCAGUGAACGAAAGUCAGGGGAUCGAAGACGAUCAGAUACCGUCGUAGUCUUGACCGUAAACUAUGCCGACUAGGGAUCGGGCGAUGUUAUUAUUUUGACUCGCUCGGCACCUUACGAGAAAUCAAAGUGUUUGGGUUCU